rnacentral:rRNA from 1 species
UCGCCCUACGUUGCUAACCCGCGAGGGUGCACUCUAGGGGACGUGCCUCCGUCAAGGAGGAGGAGGGUGGGGAUGAUGUCAAGUCAUCAUGGUCCUUAUGCCCAGGGCUACACACGUCCUACAGUGGCCGUUACAAUGGGAAGCUACAUCGCGAGGUGAUGCCAAUCCUGUAAAAGCGGCCAUGGUUCGGAUUGCAGGCUGCAACUCGCCUGCAUGAAGAUGGAAUCGCUAGUAAUCACUGAUCAGCAUGCAGUGGUGAAUACGUUCCCGGGUCUU